AUGGCAGGCGACGCGCCGCCGAUGAAGAGGCCCAAGCUGGAGAAGGACGACGGCUGGUCCCGCCACCCCUCCGCCGCCAACGGCUCCGCGCCCAGGCCCCCCGCCGCCUCCCCCAGCGACGCGCCGCCGCCGGGCGGGGAGGAGGACGACGAGGAGCUCCCAGAGGAGGCCGUGCUCGCGCUCAUCGCCCACCACGAGCGCGAGGUCGAGCGGUACAAGCUCAAGCUGGACGCCGCCGAGAGGAAGCUGGCCGACACGCGGUCGAGGCUCGCCCGGCACCGAGGCCGCGCCCCCGAUCGGAACAACCAGCCCCCGCCGCCGCCACCGCCCGUCCAGAAGGCCGCCGCGCCGGAUCGCAGGACGCCGCCUCCGAGCCAGAGGGAGGCCCCCAAGCCGUCGGCGCCGAGCCAGAAGCCCCCCGCGCCGCAGGCGAGGCCGCAGCUCGUCAUCCCGGGGGCAGGCCACAGCCGCCCGGCCCCGCGGCCCGCUUUGCCCGUACCGAAGAAGUCCCCAUCGUCAUCGUCGCCGUCUUUGGUGCAGGCACCACAGAGGAAGGCGGAGAAGAAACCCAAGCGAGAGAUCGUGCAGAGAGAACAUCAGAACUUGGUUCAGAGCGUCAAGAAGUCGUCUGCGCCGACGACGCUUAAGUUCUACGGCGGCACCCUGGUCUCCAGCCAGCACAAGAGGAAGCUUAGGUGUCUUGAGCUGUGCCCUGCUGAUGACCAGCUUGUCAUUACAAGUGCAUUGGAUGGAAUGGUGACUCUGUGGCAAGUACAGUCAAGUGGGCCAUCCAUCUCUUUGCUUAGCACUACAAAUUGCUUUUCUUCAAAGCAAAGGUGGCCUGAGGAUGUAGCUUGGCAUCCAGAUGGUGACACAAUUUUUGCCGUAUAUACUGCUGAUGGUGGUGACACCCAGGUUUCAAUGAUGAAUCUUAACACAUCAGGACAAAAGAAAGUUACUUUCCUGCAAGCGAAGCCUCAUACCAAGGGAAUCAUAAACAACAUAAAUUUCAUGCCCUGGUCUGAUACAUGCUUUAUGACUGGUGGAAGUGACCAUGCCGUCAUGCUCUGGCAAGAGAGAGACGAUUCAUGGAACCACAAGAAAGUGCACAGGGAUCUGCAUUCUUCUGCUGUCAUGGGUGUUGCCGGAUUGCAACAGAGAAAAACAAUAAUAUCAGUCGGAAUGGACAAGAGGAUAAUAUCAUACGAUGUCUCAGCUGAAAGGGCAGAGUACAAGAACCUGAUUGAUAGCAAAUGCUUGAGCGUGUUACUAAAUCCAAGUGAUUUCAACCUAUACAUGGUACAAACAGGGUCGCCAGGCAGGCAGCUUCGCUUGUUUGACAUCAGGCUCAGGCAGACGGAGGUUCACGCGAUUGGUUGGAAGCAAACGAGCAGCGAGUCCCAGUCAGCCCUGAUAAACCAGUCGUGGUCUCCGGACGGCUGGUACUUAUCAUCUGGGUCAGCAGACCCUGUGAUCCAUAUCUUCGACAUAAGGUACCAAGGCCAGAAGCCCUGCCAGUCGGUGCAGGCUCAUCAGAAGCGGGUCUUCAAGGCCGUUUGGCACCAGACCUUCCCAGUUUUGACCUCCAUCUCGUCGGACCUCAACGUCGCGAUCCACAAAUACUGA
rnacentral:rRNA from 1 species